rnacentral:rRNA from 1 species
AGCGAACGCUGGCGGCAGGCCUAACACAUGCAAGUCGAACGGAUCCUUCGGGAUUAGUGGCGGACGGGUGAGUAACACGUGGGAACGUGCCCUUUGGUUCGGAACAACUCAGGGAAACUUGAGCUAAUACCGGAGGUGCCCCUCGGGGGAAAGAUUUAUCGCCAUUGGAGCGGCCCGCGUCUGAUUAGCUAGUUGGUGAGGUAAAGGCUCACCAAGGCGACGAUCAGUAGCUGGUCUGAGAGGAUGAUCAGCCACAUAGGGACUGAGACACGGCCCAAACUCCUACGGGAGGCAGCAGUGGGGAAUCUUGCGCAAUGGGCGAAAGCCUGACGCAGCCAUGCCGCGUGAAUGAUGAAGGUCUUAGGAUUGUAAAAUUCUUUCACCGGGGACGAUAAUGACGGUACCCGGAGAAGAAGCCCCGGCUAACUUCGUGCCAGCAGCCGCCGUAAUAC